GACGAACGCUGGCGGCGUGCUUAACACAUGCAAGUCGAACGGAAAGGCCCUGCUUUUGUGGGGUGCUCGAGUGGCGAACGGGUGAGUAACACGUGAGUAACCUGCCCUUGACUUUGGGAUAACUUCAGGAAACUGGGGCUAAUACCGGAUAGGAGCUCCUGCUGCAUGGUGGGGGUUGGAAAGUUUCGGCGGUUGGGGAUGGACUCGCGGCUUAUCAGCUUGUUGGUGGGGUAGUGGCUUACCAAGGCUUUGACGGGUAGCCGGCCUGAGAGGGUGACCGGCCACAUUGGGACUGAGAUACGGCCCAGACUCCUACGGGAGGCAGCAGUGGGGAAUAUUGCACAAUGGGCGGAAGCCUGAUGCAGCAACGCCGCGUGCGGGAUGACGGCCUUCGGGUUGUAAACCGCUUUCGCCUGUGACGAAGCGUGAGUGACGGUAAUGGGUAAAGAAGCACCGGCUAACUACGUGCCAGCAGCCGCGGUGAUACGUAGGGUGCGAGCGUUGUCCGGAUUUAUUGGGCGUAAAGGGCUCGUAGGUGGUUGAUCGCGUCGGAAGUGUAAUCUUGGGGCUUAACCCUGAGCGUGCUUUCGAUACGGGUUGACUUGAGGAAGGUAGGGGAGAAUGGAAUUCCUGGUGGAGCGGUGGAAUGCGCAGAUAUCAGGAGGAACACCAGUGGCGAAGGCGGUUCUCUGGGCCUUUCCUGACGCUGAGGAGCGAAAGCGUGGGGAGCGAACAGGCUUAGAUACCCUGGUAGUCCACGCUGUAAACGGUGGGUACUAGGUGUGGGGUCCAUUCCACGGGUUCCGUGCCGUAGCUAACGCUUUAAGUACCCCGCCUGGGGAGUACGGCCGCAAGGCUAAAACUCGAAGGAAUUGACGGGGCCCCGCACAAGCGGCGGAGCAUGCGGAUUAAUUCGAUGCAACGCGUAGAACCUUACCUGGGUUUGACAUGGAUCGGGAGUGCUCAGAGAUGGGUGUGCCUCUUUUGGGGUCGGUUCACAGGUGGUGCAUGCCUGUCGUCAGCUCGUGUCGUGAGAUGUUGGGUUAAGUCCCGCAACGAGCGCAACCCUUGUUCACUGUUGCCAGCACGUUAUGGUGGGGACUCAGUGGAGACCGCCGGGGUCAACUCGGAGGAAGGUGGGGAUGACGUCAAGUCAUCAUGCCCCUUAUGUCCAGGGCUUCACGCAUGCUACAAUGGCUGGUACAGAGAGUGGCGAGCCUGUGAGGGUGAGCGAAUCUCGGAAAGCCGGUCUCAGUUCGGAUUGGGGUCUGCAACUCGACCUCAUGAAGUCGGAGUCGCUAGUAAUCGCAGAUCAGCAACGCUGCGGUGAAUACGUUCCCGGG
rnacentral:rRNA from 1 species